GCUACCGUAAACCCUCGACGUGCUAUCUGGAGCCCCUUAUCGAGCACACUCUAAUAGAUAAUAAAAGAGUGGGCACUGGGGGACAGGCGCCGGGUGGGGAGAUGUUUGCAAAACCAAGUAGGGAUAAACUGCUGAGUGACCAGACCGAAGCGAGCGUUACCGGCGCUGCAGGGUUUUGCCCACUACUUGGAUGGAAGGAGGAAAAAGUGAUGUGUGAAGAGAGAUGGGGGAAGGGGAGAAACCGGUUGGGCAAGCGGCUGGUUGCCGAGCAUAAUCUAACGAAUUUCAAAAGAAAACGUAAUAAAAACUAGACAAGAAACAGUGUUCGUAGACAAGAGCAUUCUUGGCUUGGAUUAUUAAAAGACCACUGCGUUGUAGGCAGAGUGGAAGGGAACUCAGUCGAGGCCAAAGGAGCCUUACAAGAGAAGACCAGAAGGAGCAAGAAAGAGAGGCAACUAUGAUCAAUAGUUUGUUUUUUUUUUUCUUCUUCUUUUUUUAAUCAAUAGGUUUUGCUUACUCCUCGACUGCUUUUUCUUCCAUCUCUUAAUUAGCAACGAAAAGCAACCAAGUUGUUUGCAUGAUGACGCCAGGGGGGAAAAGGCCUGACCACUUCCUAGAAGGAAGAAAAGAGGCUUUUUAAAGACACCACCUACAGCUAGAUUUGCAGGGUAUGACAUGAUUACAACUCCUGUGUCCAGAGGAUUAAAAAUAGAGUUUGGCCUUAAAAAGUACCACUUUAUAAAAGGCAACAUGACAUAGUGUUUUAACUGACCUCAUGUUCACAACAGAAUCGAAAAUCUUUGUUAGAAAUUAGUGAAGCCUGUAAGAUGGUUUUUAAAAAGCAUGAUGUGGUAUAUAAAUAGAACUUAAUUUUGUAAAGUUCUCAUAUUAAUUUUUACAAGUCCAACGGUCUUAGACUGUUCAACAUUGUAAUCCUCUUAAUCAAAGACAAGUAAAUUUAUAUUGUGAACAUUUUGGUAACAAAUGGCAAUGUUUUCAUAAACUCACACUGGGAUUCAAGGCAUAACAGCAUAAACUUUUCUAGAUUUUUGCAAUCAACAGAGCUGCUUCUAAGAGAAAUGUAGAUGGAAAAAUAUGAAUCUGGAACUAUAUAUUCAUAAUUAAAUACACUGGAAGAUUUUUGACUGUUCUCAUUGGUUUACUGUUUUCUUGCUUUUUGGGGAAGAAACAAUUUCGUUGGAUUUUAGUUGACAAGGUAGUUACCUUGGCCUCAGCAUUAUAUAUAAAUAUACAAAUUAUUUGGAGAGUUAAUGACCAGGCCAUUUAUCUCUAAUAAAGUUUAGAUGGCUAUGCUUAAAACUGAAUUUGUGUAUCUGAGUGGGAAACAUAGCCUUUUUUCUUUUUUUUUCCCUCUUGGUUGACACCUGGUGGAAAUUCAUUCUGGUUGUUCAAGUACUUGGAAUUUUGUACUAGCUUUGGUAACAGAUACUACUUGGGUUUUUUUGCCACCUAGUGGUAAAAUGGUGAAUUUGCUAAAAUGUCAGCUUCUCAGCUUUAGGGUCAAAUGAUACUUGUGAAGCAUUCAAAUGACAUUGGGCAAGAAAUGGAUUUAAAAGUGCAGUACACAAUGAGGCCUUCAUUACUAAAUUUGUUUUAAAUACCUCAGGGCUCGUGAACAAUGGCUAAAUUGUUCAGAAGUUUAAGUAAAAAUUUUCUUGUCGUAAUAUAACUUCUAUCUGAAAAAAUAAGAAUCAGUUUUUUAAAUGAACUAGAAUUGCAUUUAAUCAGAAAGAACCCUAAGAGAUUUACUUGUAGUUUGGAAAAUUGUUUUACCACAUUAAAUGAUUCAUUCAUGGGGCUAUAGGGCAUUAUUCCUUCUCUUAGAAGCUUUUAGGGUAUUAUAAAUUACUGUCUUUAUUACUUACUUUGCUAUUUCUCUUUAUUUUCUCUCUGUGUCUUCAUAAACACUUCCUAAACACCUCUUAAACUAAUUGACAAGUUGCCAGGAAAUUCUUAUCCCCUGUCACUUUUACUUAAGAUUCUACUGAUUUAUCCUAAUUAUCACCUUUCUUUGAUUUGGAUUUGGUCAUAUAACUAUUUAAGUGUCUAAACUUGAGUUUACUUGCUUCAUUUUGUUUACUUUCUCCUAUUUGUUCAAACUCUGGAAACACCAGAAACAAACGAACAACAAACAAACAACCCUGGCACCUUUAAAUUCCUGUUUGUGUUUUCAGUUUUUUAAAAAUUUAUUUAUGUAAGUAAUUUCUACAUCCAGUAUGGGGCUCAAACUCACAACCAGAGAUCAAGAGUCUCAUGCUCUUCCAACUGAGCCAGCCAGAUGUCCCUUUGUAUUUGUGUCUAAAAGGAAAAAAACACUUGGAUUAAAUUUUGGACUAAAUGUUUUCUCUUGUGGCAUUUGUAACCUCCCCUUUUCAAAACUCCUUGUCUAAAACUCUGCCUUUGAGAUAACUUGAAAUGUUGUACUUUAGGUGUUUUCUUGGUCUUCUGGACUUGUCUUACUGGGCCCUUAUUGUAUUUUGCAUUAAGUUUAAGCUAUUCAUCUUUACCACUAAGGCUCUUUCCUACUGCACUCCAGCCUACGUCUCGUAUGCCUUCUCCUCCUACUCCUCUGCUGACUCUCUAUACUCCUGUCAAGUGCAUCUUCUGUCCCCUUUGUUAGCCUGUCUCGCUGUUGCCAAUGUGCAGUUGCAUGCUGUUUUCUGUGCCCAGAACAACAUCUCACUGCUGUUAACUCCUUUCCCUUCUUCUAACCCCUCUACUAGACUCAGUUGGGCACAACUGAAUAAAAUUCCAAGUAGGCAGAAUAACUAGCUCCCCCUUCCCUUUUUACAACUUCUUCAGAGCUUAAGUAGAAAUCCCUCUUUCUGGUAUUUGUUCCUUGGAUUUUAAAUUCAAUGGCUGUUCCAUCUUACUGUACAAAGGGUUAAACUCAAGCUCAAGAACUCUAUCUAAAACUGACAAAUGAUGAUCACUAUCAAGAUAUUUUGUAUUCAUGUGGCUUUUCUGCAAAUGAAGAGGAAGGAGAGAAGAACCUUUUGGAAAGAGUCACUUGAUAAAUAAGUGGCCAAUGGCAGGGGAAUGAUUGUCAAAUAGAGUCAUGAUCCUAGAAAGGAUAAGUGAUCACUCUAAAUGAAAUGAAGUGUUGGUUGCUGGCUUGGAGACAGCAGUGGCCAAUAGUUAAGAGGACAAAGCCAAUUAAGUGAACUCUUGAAAAAUCACCAAAACAUUGAACAGUGAAAUACUUAGAUUGAAAACACUACAGUAUUUGCUGUGGAGAAACAGAACUUUGUGGAUUUAUGAAUGGAAAUGAGAUAUAACGUUCUGGAUUCUUACAAGAGAGCAGAAAGUAUGAGCAAUGAAUUGGUUUCCGAUGUUUGCAACUAUGACCUUAAAUGACAGAACUGAGCAGGACUCAUGGUACGCCCAGCAUCCCUUGCAUGUUGCCUGGAAGGUAUUCCUGGACCACUUGCCUUACCUCAGGAGGUUUCUUGGAAUAGAUUGGAAUUCACUGAUGCGUAUUGGAGCACUGUGAGGCUGGCUUCCGGUUAUUGUUAGGACUGACAUGGCUACAGAAUUUCUCCAAACCUCAUAUCUGCAAACUGCAGGGUGUGCAAUACCUUGUACUUGGUGUCCUUAAGUGAUUGGUAGUAUCUCAAUAAGCACAAGAGAGUUAGCAAAUAGGCCCAAUCUCUUCUCUCUGCAGGUUUCACAGACCCAGACUCUAAUGAACCAUGGCAGCGUCAGAGUGCAGCAGCAUUUUACAGAUAAGGGCACCUGACACAAAAAGACCAGGUCACUUUCUCUGUAAAUGCAUAACAUUAUAAGUUCCAGAGGAAGCAAUGUGGCAUUCAAGAUUCUACAAGGAGAAUCAAGGAGAGUUGCCUGUUAUAAAUUUGGACAUUUUUCGUUCUUUAAAAAUAUGACACAGGCACAGCCAGUUUCUUAUGCCCGGCAUAGGGGAGACCUUGUUUGGGAGCACGGCUGAACUGGACCAGGGAUUAGCACCUGCAGCAGAGAAAGGCAGCACUAUCCUGGCUAGUGAUCUGUGUGGAGGUAUGUCAGGCAUGAGAACCUCAGGAAAGAGAGAUAUUCUGCCUAAGAGAUAGGAGACUGGACCUUGUUAGACUUUCUGAAGGCAUUCAAAGGUGAGACGCACAAAUGGUAAAGCAACUCAGAAGCAUAGAGACUCCCAAAAGGAAAGCGAUUAGUAGACUUUAUAAUGUUGCCAAAGCUGCCAUAUGUAAAAGCCAACCAGUGAAAUAAGAACAAAGUCAUUGAGCAGUAGAUAUUAUAGAAGCUGAAAUAGAAAGUAGUGGAGCCAUCAGGAAUUUAGAACUUGACAUUUCAGAAGACUAAAAGUGGGCUGGGUUGCUACAGUAAAGCUGUUGAGAUUAUUAUUAUUAUUAGUUUGUUAUUCUUCAUGCGGCAAACUAACUUCAACUAUAUUAAAUUGGGCUUCUCACUCUUCCUCCAACUUCAAAAAAUCUAACACAGCUAAGAAAAUAUAAUAAAUUUAUAAGAUCACAGAAUUUCAGCUCUAGAGGGGAAUUUAGAGAUGUCUUACCAAAAUGUUUUUCUAUUUAUUUUUACCAUGAAGAUUUCAGCACAAGAGAGGAUAAUAACAAAGUCCCUUGUUUUGCUCUACCGGCUAAUCAGACACUGUGAUCAUAAUUUCUUAAGGCCAUAUACAUAUUUUAAGUGAUUGUUUCUUCCAACCCCGGUACAAAGUAGGAGCUCAAUAAGUGCUUUUUGAAGAGCAAGUCAGCAAAAUCUUAUGGCAGUUGAGAGUUUUGAUUUGAUUGCAGAGCUGGUUAGUUCUAAAUAGUUAAAAGAAGGGAUAUGGUGAAAAAAAAAAAAGGGAAUAGACUUUUAUUUGCCCCUGCCUACUCUAUUUUGCUGAAACUUUCUCUCCUGCACCCCACACAUAACACUCUCAGACUCAUGCUUAAAUAAAGGGGUGAUUAGCCUUGUUAUCUGAUUAAGGAGGUUUUAUAUCCAUCAAAAUUGGUCCUGGAAAAUUCAUUGCAGAAGGCUAGCAUUUGGGGUUCAAAAUUGCAUGGGCAAUGGGGCACUGACAGCGUCCAAGUAAUUUACAGUUAGGUAUGCACAUUUGCCUAGAUUCAUGGAUUAAAAGUGAAAAAGGUUUUAUGUUUGGAACAUUUUCUGAUUCAAGGAUAAGGAAGGUUAGUGUGAAGCUAGGUUCUCUGACCCUCUGAUGAUUUACAUGGAGCUUUCUGUAUCAGUGUCAUUUUCUUGAAUAUCAAAGGCUAAAGAGUAUUUUGAAUAAAUCAAAUCUUAAAAGAAGUCUCUGAGAAAUAUUACAUAUCUGUUGAGCAGGUUAGGAAGGAGACAAUUAGUUGAAGCCAGGGACACUUCUUCAAUUUUAGCCACCUCUGAAGGACCAACAGUGAGAGCGAUCAAAGUCACACCUGCCACUUUGUUUUAACGUUCGGUUUUGUUUUCCCUUGAGAUAAAGCCUUCAGAGCCAGAAUAAACAAUUCUGCAAAAUAACAUGUAGCAAAGAAAGAAUUCUAUUUCUGAUCUUCAUCUGGGGUUCAUCUUAGGAGUUACAAAAAUAAAUCCUUAUUUUUGGACAAAUUCUGAAUUGUGGUCUGUAUUGGAGGGUUGUGUUCCUUUUGAUAAGAAGCUUUCCUAGUCCACAUUUCAUACAAAAGGACUGCUGAGAAUUGAGAUGACUUAUGACACAUUAUUAAGGACUUGGGUUUAGCAUAGAGAAAAACCCAGCCAUUUCCAUACUGCUCUGCCUUGGAGAAGCGGGAAAUACUCCAGGUCAAGGGCAUAUGCAAGGGCAAAUUCUAUUUGUUCACAAAAUUAUUUUACUCACAGUACCAGAUGGGGUUGUUUGGAUUCUGUAUGACACAGCAGUCCUUCCUUAUUUAUUUUUUAUUUUUUAAGUUUUUAUUUAUUUACUUAUUUAUUAUUUUUAAAAUGUAAUUAUUUUUUAUUUACAUACAAGUUAGCAUAUAGUGCAACAAUGAUUUUGGGAGUAGGUUCCUUCAUGCCCUUACCCAUUUAGCCCAUCCCUCCUUCCACAACCCCUCCAGUAACCCUCUGUUUGUUCUCCAUAUUUAUGAGUAUCUUCUGUUUUGUCCCCCUCCCUGUUUUUAUAUUAUUUUUGCUUCUCUUCCCUUAUGUUCAUCUGUUUUGUAUCUUAAAGUCCUCAUAUGAGUGAAGUCAUAUAUUUGUCUUUCUCUGAGCAGUCCUUCUUUAAAUUCUAGAACAAAAUAAAUCCUAAAGAAGGCAAAGUCAAGAAAAGUUUCGAGCCCUUAUUUGUGUGAAAUGAAAGAAUAAGGGAGUUAGCUGAUGAUCCUGUAACUAUGUGAACUUUGUAUCAUGCACUGUGUACAAAAACAAUUUCACAUGUUGAGAUGUGUAUGCUAAAGGAGAUCUUAAAAUUGCCCUUCCAAUGUUCAGGAUUGCUAGCAUUUGUGAGGGAAGUCUUAUGCCUUCCCAAGGAGAUAAAUAAGAUCAUCUUAAUAUGCUCAUAAUUUUUUAUGAGCCAGACCUUUGUUUUAAGAAUCAGUUCUAAAGGACUCUGGGGACUUUGGCUAUCUUAUCCUAACUUAAAAGAAGUCUGGAAUUUGAAAAAGGCUCUUUCUAGUUUGAUAAAUUUUCAUUCUGCAUUAGCUGAGGAAGUUUUCAUUCUCCUUGACCUAGGGUUAUUCUUGAGUGUUGGGGGACCGACUUACAUGCUAUAUGAAGCUUCUUGAGAGGAUGUUAGUAUUCACACAAGAUGUGGGCUAUGAUUUGAGACCUUCCCCAGUUCCAACAGUCAACAGUACAGGGCAAAUAGGAUUGGUGAAUACUGAAAUUCGAACUAAAAAUUGCCUCUUUAAUUGCUUACUUAUGUGGAUGCUUGGUAUCCAUUAAUUGUUGCUUUUAAAAAUUGAGACUAUAUCCAUACAUCAAUCUGCCCUAUAUGUUUUGAUGCAUUUCAAAAUUAAAUUUUCUGGUAUAGAUUCCAAUCAGUAUCCCUCAUCAACCCAGCACUUUAACAUAAUGCAUGCUAGAAUUUAGUAUUUGUUUUUUUUUUCAGUUAUGAUUAAAGAUAGUGGAAUUCUCUUCUGAAGUUUACGAUUUGAUGAUUUUGGCAAAUGUAUACUCCCUUGUAACCCCAGCAGAAAUUUCCUUUGCACCCUUUCCCAGGCAAUCCCUGCUUGUACCCCACUGUUCUGAUUUUUUUUAAAUGUUUACUUAUUUUUGAGAGAGAGAGAGAGAGAGAGAGAGAGAGAGAGAGUGAGAGAGCGUGGUAGAGGGGCAGAGGGGGGACAGAGGAUCUGAAGUGGGCUCUGUGCUGAAGUUGGACGCUUGACUGACUGAGCCACCCAGGCUCACCCAAGCCACCCACCUUGUUCUGAUUUUUUUCAGGAUGGAUUAAUUGUGUUGUUGUAGAACUUCAUAAAAAUGGCAUCAUUCAUAUCUACACUCUUUGUAAGAUUUUCACUGAGCAUGUUUUUGAGACUUCAUCAUGUUGUUAUAAGUAUCUGUGGCUCAUUUAUUUUUAUUGUUGAGUACUACCUCAAAUGUAAUGACUAAUUUGUUUGUCCUUUGUUGAAGGACACCUGUUUCCAGUUUUUGACCAUUAUGAAUGAAGUCGCUACAAGUCUUUGUGUGGUUGUAUGUUUUCAUUUCUCUUGCAUAUAUACUAUGGAGUGGAAUGACUGGCUGGUCAUAGCAAAGGUGCAUAUUUAGUUUUAUAAACAUUUUCCUGAGUGAAAGGGAAUGAUAUUUUUCCUAAUUGUCACUGUAGACUCCCAUCUGUAAUGAUUUUAAUGUUUUAAUUCUCCUAUGCGACAUUCUACUCUGAAGACGAGUAUAGGAAUAUUGUUUUCAUCAUAGUAUAGCAAUCCAGGGCUGAGCUGGGGAUAGGGUCAGGAAGCAAGUGUUCUGAGUUAAUUCAGAGCCCUCUGUGCAUUACUGUAGUCACUUCUGGAUGGGUGGGAAGGUAGCUGUAUUAUACUACUGUGAAAUAGUUGACAGACUAAGCUCUAUCCUAUACAAAAUGUAUUAGAAGAGGCUAAACAUAAUGUAUAGUAAUGGUGUCAGUGUUUUCACUAAAUUUGUAAGACUUAUUGAAGACAUUAGUAGCUAUACGUGUAGAAAACUAGAGACCCAGUUCUAUAGGUUAAGUUCAUGCACCUUGCAUUUCUACUACUUAGGUUCAGUGUAUACUUUGUUCUUCAUUGAGUUCAUGCUAGUCCUCUAUAAACGUCUAAACAAAACCCUGAUUUAUAAGUUUGUUGAUUUUUUUAACCAUAGAAACUGGCUAAUAUAUGGUAAGAUUUGAGCCAUGGCAUGUCUAAUGUAUAUUAUUUUAUACAUAGGAAAAAACCUUCUAAACAUGAUGCAUGCCUAUGAAGUUUUCCCAAGUUAGAAAAUAAUAUAUGUUUUUCUAAUUUCUCUUGAUUGAAAAUAUGAUCAUUGGAAUUUUCUAGAUGUAAGUUUUUAAUGACCUUACUUAUACUUACCUAAGUUAUUUCCCACUUUCCCCAUUGACUUUUUAACUCUAGGAUUCUUUUUUACCAGGGCUAUUCUGAAAGGAUCUUUGUGAUAAUCCAGGAGACUGUCCCUAUUUUAAGGUCAGCUGAUGAGCAAAUCACUUCCAUCGGCAACUUUGCACCGUUAAGAGCAGAAACUUCAAACACUGGGUCUGUCAUUUUCUAGGGUGUCCUUUAGUAUAUCCCGUUUUGUCCUGGACAGAUUGCAAAAGGGAUCCUCCACUGGGUGGGACAAUUAGAAAGUGGUGCCAGGAUGCACAGGUUGUUUGGGAAAUAAAGGACAGAUUUCAGCACCACCUCCCCAGGGUAUAGCCUGUACACGGCAGCCUCCUGGCAUUUUCUAUAGACUGACUCCCAUGUUUCUCACCUCUGCCUUAGACUUUAUUUGUUCCAUACUCUGAGCCACCAGAGGGAGACCUGUGUCUUUUGAAGUUCCCAAGGGCCUACUCUAGCAUUGAGAACAGAAUAAACCCUCUGGACCCGGUUCUGCUGAGAUCUGUGGGUGGCAAUACAAAACUACUAUCUUUAAACAAAAUUUAAGCAUUUUUAAAUAAAAAUUUACAGAUUUAAAAGCCAUUACAAGCAAUCUUAGUUUAUGGUAAUUAAAAAAUAAAUGAGGCUUCAAUCUUCUAUGAGGAAUCAAGGCCAAGUGCCCUGUUAUCAUCUGUGUAGGCCUAAGGAACCCAGACAUGGCCAGGAACCUUUGGAGGAAGAAUUUCUCUGUAUCCCCAUUAACUCUGACUUCCAGUUUCCCUGAAUAAAGUAAGUGUCUGACAUUUUAUGAAGACAAAUUUUCUCGAUAGGGUUCACUCAAAGUAGGAUUUCUCUGCUUUUAGCUUUAUUAAGCUUCCUGGACACUUUGAGGAUGAGAGUUCUAGACGUCUUGUAGUCAUUUUGUUAUUCCACAGCUGCUCCUAAAACCAGACAUAUUAAGAAAUGUGUCGAGGCACAGUGUCUAGGACGUGUUGUUGAAAGUACAAAAAGGAAUUUGGAAAGAAGUUUUAGGACACUAAUGACAAACAUCAUGUGUUUCCCAACUUUUCUUGGGGCUGUUUUUAAAUGGAAAGUUGUGAUAGUUUGUAGCAAUUCCUCAUGUGUCACUCUAUUAAAUACUCUUCCAUUUGUCAUGGGACAAUAGUUACCUCUAUAGGUAAGAACAUCUGCCUUCCUGGAACUGAAGGUUUGAAGCAUUAGACCAGCUGAACUAAUUCAGGAAAAGGGUGUGUGUGUGUGUGUGUGUGUGUGUGUGUGUGUGUGUGUGUGAGAUAAUAAUAGACCUUAAAGAACCUUUAAUGAUGAGAUCCUAAAAUUGUUAAAGGUACUUUUGGAUCUGUGAAAAAAGUUCAAUUCAAAUUACUUGGAGCAGGAAGGAAAUGUCAUAGCUCUUACAGCUGGAAUAGCUCACAUGCCUGAAGGAAUAGCGAAAGGAACUAGAACCCUACAUCCUGGAAUGGGUCUUAGAACCUCUGGACUCUAUUUUUCUACCCAGCUUUUAUCUCUGCUGGUCUCUGAUAGGCUUUGUUCUGCAUAGAAACCCUUUUCAAAUAAUGGAGAAGACGCCCGCUGGCAGCCCCAGAGUCCUACCUCCUAGACUUAGCCUAGUAAGAACCCCUUUCUGCCAGUCCAGUUCUAAGAAAGGACUCUGGUCUUCCUUACAUCCUGCUUAAAUGCUGGCACCAAAACCUUUUCUCUUGCCAGAGCGAGGGGGCACUACAGUGUGACAGGUUAUAAUUGUUAGAAUUCAGAGAGGCUGGGAAUAGGGUGAGGAGAGCAAGGCAGGGUCAUGCAAUUACAGGGACAGAUACUGUCUGUCUUUAAAAUCAUCGUACUUUGUUCAAAAGUCUGGGGCAAGCGGAAAAUAGAAGAGUAAAAGUCAUGAAUGCAACUUGGUAGGGUUUAAAAAGGCUAAUUUGAUACUCUUCCUUUGCCUGAGUUUAGUUGAGAGCUCGAUACUGGGUAGAAAGUACAGACUUAAAAACAUUGCUUCCCCCCUCACCCCCAACCCCAGAUGAAGCUUUUGGAGAAAGUGGUUUAAAUUUUUUAAAUGUUUAUUGUCGAGAGAGAGAGAGAGAGAUUGAGAGAGAGCGAGCGGGGAAGGGGCAGAGAGAGAGGAGACACAGAAUCUGAAGCAGGCUCCAGGCUCUGAGCUGUCAGCACAGAGCCCAGUGGGGGGCUCGAAGUCACAAGCCAGGAGAUCAUGACCUGAGCCAAAGUCUGACACUUAAUUGACUGAGCCACGCAGGCGCCCCUGGAGAAAGUGCUUUAGAAAUCAUCCAUUGACACUUCUCCACAUCUGCCUUCACGCUUUGGAUUAUAGCAUGUGGGACAGCACACUUCAAGGGAGGAAAGUGGCGGUGUUUAGGGGAGUUCCAUUUGCCUGGAUCCCUGGUUUGCAUUGAUUUGCGGCAUCAGGAACCAAAAUCUCUGAUCUUCAUUCCUUACAGAUCUUCAUAAAUUAACACCACCCACCAAGUGCUUCAGUUACUCCUGAUUCAUGGAAAGAAAAUGGGGCAAGAGAUGAGAUGUGCUACCAGAGGUCUCUACCUGAUACAAGGAGUCAGGGAGACAAGCUUCCAUGAAUAAUGACUUGAAGGCCCCUAUUCUUCAUUUACCCUCAACUAUUUGAAAAUCCCAUUUUCAUCAAAUAAAACUGGCUCUGUGAGUUGACUCUGGAGUGAAGGCUAGCAUUUAUAUUUCUGCUUAAGGAAAUGCUACACAUCUGAACUUAUCCACUUCCCAGCUAUUGUCAAGGUUGUAAAGGCCGGUGACUACUGAGUGCCUAUUCCAUGAAAUUGUUCAGUGACUUACUCUGGUUUGGAGUCUUGUUCAAAGUAUCUUAAAGUCUGGUGGGGAGGGGUUAUUAGUGAAACCAGAUGAGUCAUUUCAUGAACUCAAUCAUUGCUACAAAGCAGAGAAAGGAGACAUUAGAGCAGAAGAGGCGUACUGAGGGAAUCUUCAUGAAGGAGAUACACUUGAGUUAUCCCUUGAAGUAGUAUUCCAAAAGCAAAGGGAACAGCAUGGGUAAAGUUACAUGGCGUGGAGUAUACACAGAAUAUUUGGGAAUUGGGAAGACAUUUGGCUGGUUGUGUAUCUAGUAGAAGAAGGUUACCAAAGCAAAUUACCAAACAUAUUAAACACUUUAUAUAACACAAACUUUAUGGUGCUUUUCAUACGUCAUUUAAUUUAAUCUCUAUGAGGUUGGGACUAGCUUGUUUCUUCAAUGAGGAAGCUGAAAUCUAUGAAGGUUAAACAGUGUUUUCUGACCACACAGGUAAUAUUUAAUACAUAGGAAUAACAUACAGAUCUACUUGACUUCAGUUUUCAUGCUCUUAAGUUCUGCAGUGUGGUGAAGCCAAGGAGAGAAAGGCUGAAUAGAGACAGGCUAAGGAAUCUGUCCUUAGGUUUGCUCAGUUGCUCACAAGGAGGGAGAAAGCAAAAGGAGAUUGUUAUUAUGCAGGAUUGGUGCACUUGUGUGUUUAAAAAAUUUUCCUGCACGUUGAAUAUUUAUUAUGAAUCACCCACAUUGUACAUUUGUAACAUAAGGUAUGGGUAAAGAACGUGAAUAGAGCAAACACAAGCCUUGAUCUUGUAUUUGUCUCAUAGAGGCAAGAGAGACGAACCAAUUAUCAGGUACUAAACACAAUAUAAAACUAAGUCUCCUAAAGAACACACAGGGUGGGGCACCUGGGUGGCUCAGUCGGUUGAGCGUCCGAUUUCAGCUCAGGUCACGAUCUCGCGGUCCAUGAGUUGGAGCCCCGCGUCGGGCUCUGGGCUGAUGGCUCAGAGCCUGGAGCCUGCUUCCGAUUCUGUGUCUCCCUCUCUCUCUGCGCCUUCCCCGUUCAUGCUCU